GUUUCGAUAGCUCAGCUGGAUAGAGCAAUGCCCUUCUAAGGCAUCGGUCGGGGGUUCGAAUCCCUCUCGGAAUG
rnacentral:tRNA from 1 species